UACCAGCACCCCGAGUGGUCGGGACGAUUAUUGGGCCUAAAGCAUCCGUAGCCGGUUCUACAAGUCUUCCGUUAAAUCUACCUGCUUAACAGAUGGGCUGCGGAGGAUACUAUAGAGCUAGGAGGCGGGAGAGGCAAGCGGUACUUAGUGGGUAGGGGUAAAAUCCGUUGAUCCAUUGAAGACCACCAGUGGCGAAGGCGGCUUGCCAGAACGCACUCGACGGUGAGGGAUGAAAGCUGGGGGAGCAAACCGG
rnacentral:rRNA from 1 species